rnacentral:rRNA from 1 species
GACUUAUCAGGAGUUGUAUUGGACAGGAGAGGAAGGAAUAGGACAAGGAGAGGGGUAGGAGAACUGGCUGCCGCCGACCGACUACUGCGGCCUGCUUCUCCCUCUCGUUCUGCUGCGGGAAGGGGGUCAUUGGGAGGUCGGAAAGGGGAGGGUCGGCGCCGGAGGGGUAGCUCCAUCGUCCUGCCGCUGCGAACCACAGAGGAGCUAGAGGGGACCAGUUGCGUGAAGGUACGAGCCGAUGAGAUGUGGGGGUAUGGGAGGGACGAGCUACGGUGGCUCGAGGCCAUCAGGUCGAGUAGUUUAGGCCGCCCGGCGUCCGACGUCGAGUGGUACAAGGUGUCGCAGGUCGAGGUUAGGCUUGAUACUUCUCGAUGAUGUUCUACUGCUCGGUAGACUUCUACUUCGACCCCAAUGGUAGUUAAAUUUCUCGUUUCUUUUUUUUAAUUUUGAAGUUGGUCUAGUAAAACAACUGGGAAGCAGAACUAUACGUAUACUUUAGUCUACUACAAGGAUAAAAAAGACCAUAACAGACGUACAAUUAGUCUUAAUGUUUAAAGUAAAGUAAUCUACUAACAAGUGGGCUCGGUAUUGUUAAAGUCCAAUCGACAUGAGGAUAAGGAAAAUUUAAAAGAUAUCGUAUAGUCCUAACGUUCUACUUCUUGUUAGUUAUUCAAGUUCUUUUCGAACUUGGUUACCGUUGUUCAUUCCUGUUUAAGAAAACGUUAGUUGUGAUUGAUGACUAAAAUCCUCAAUAUCAGUACAAGACCAUGGGUUUUAGAAUUGAUCGUAGCAACUUUAAGAUAAGUUGUAUUCAAAAUAAGAACAGGUUGGUCUAGUAAAACAACUGGAAAAGCAGAACCUACACGUAUAAUUUUAUCUGCUCCAAGGAAAAAAAGUCCAUACUAGACGUACAAGACGACGUUCAAGUAUAGACCUUUUUUUACGAACAACACUGCUCGAUCAUAAGAAAGUCCUUCGACUUGUACGUUCAAGUAUAGACGUUUUUUUUUUUCGUUCAAGUCGACGUAGGUGAAACAGAGAAAGUCCUUCGGUUCUACAGAACAUGUAUACUAGUACCCUCGACGUGCCACGAGUUGGAUAACCGUAUGUUUUCGUAGGGAACUAAGUGCAAUAAACACCUACUACGGGAACACCUCACUAGACCUCGAUACCUGUGGAAGGGAUUUCGAACUUUGUACAUAAAAGACAAAUCUAAAACAUGCCAUGACCUUACAAACCUCGAAGUCAAAAGAUGAAACAAAAACGAAAAGACUUGACGGUAUCCGUCUACAGCCACUCGUCUAUACAUUGACCGACGCUAGACCAAGGUAAAAUUAAUUUACUACGGCCCCCAAGGUGGGAUAAAAAACUUGUUU